rnacentral:rRNA from 1 species
AGCGAACGCUGGCGGCAGGCUUAACACAUGCAAGUCGAGCGGGCGUAGCAAUACGUCAGCGGCAGACGGGUGAGUAACGCGUGGGAACAUACCUUUUGGUUCGGAACAACACAGGGAAACUUGUGCUAAUACCGGAUAAGCCCUUACGGGGAAAGAUUUAUCGCCGAAAGAUUGGCCCGCGUCUGAUUAGCUAGUUGGUGAGGUAAUGGCUCACCAAGGCGACGAUCAGUAGCNGGUCUGAGAGGAUGAUCAGCCACAUUGGGACUGAGACACGGCCCAAACUCCUACGGGAGGCAGCA